GGCCUGGGACAAGCAAGCCUCCCGCGCCAGCAGAGCGCCUAUUAUACAGGAGGGCCACGCCCUGCACAUUCAUACCUAACCUGAUUUUUAAAAGAACUGUUUUUUUCUCCCCCAGUUUAAUUAUUUUCCACAGCUCAACAACCAGUUGGGCUGCUUCUUUCUGACGCAUUUUCUUCUCAUCAAGAAAGUGGGGAGCCUCACUCCCCACCGGUGGGCAGGCUUCGCUGAGCUGGGGGAUCCUGGGGGUCAAAGGAACACUGGGGACCCCCACCCUUUGCCAGGACAUGCCACUCAGUCACUUCUGGAUUGUGACCCACAGCCAUGGUCCUGGGAAGCCAACACCUCCAUCCUACUAAGGACUGUGCCUCUUGCAGGCUGGGCUGGACGUGGACAGAGGAGAAGAUAUCCAAUUGUCCCAGCACCAUUUGUUGAAAAGAUGAUCAUUUCUCCCAUUGAAUUACCUUGGCACCGUUAUGAAAAUCGAUUAACCAUAUAAAUUGUUCUACUGCACACCUCCUCUCAGCUCCAGCAUCAGCGACCCCAUUGGUAACCUGAAAUUGACCAUGCAUUUUGAAGAUACUGCUCAACUGAGUCCCGGCCCCCAUCGUUGAUGAGGAGUCGGCCGUCACUGUGUAAGUGUUCCUCUCUGGGUGUUUUCAGUAUACUCUCUUUACUUUGGGUUUCAUCAGUUUGAUCAUCAUAUGCCGAGGUCUAGUUUUCUUCAUAUUUACCUUAAUUAGAUUCAAUGAGCUUCUUGGAUUUCUAAGUUGAUUCCUUUCACUAAAUUUGUAAAGUUUUGAGUCAUUAUUUCUUUUAAGUUUUCCUGACCCAUUCUCACUCUCCAUUCAUGUCAGACUGCUUGAUGUUGUCCCACAGACCUCUGAGGUCCUUUCAUGUUUCUUUAAAAUUUUUCUCGUUGUCUUUCAGAUAGAAUAAUUCCUAUCAGUCUAUGGAUAAGUUCACUAUUUCUGUGUCCUACCACUUCCAAUUGCUAAAAGCUCAUCCAGUAAAUAUUUUAUUUCAGUUUCUGUAACUUUCAGCUCUUGAAUUCCAUUUGGUUCUUUUUUCAUAGUAUUUAUUUUUCUCCUAAGACUCCCUAUCUGCUCAAACGUAUU